UUUUAUUUAGUGAAACGGACGUACAUACAUUGAUUUUAGCCGUUUUAUUUGGAUGGGACUUUUUUUGGCUGCUCUACUUGUCGGUAUUCUGAACCCUAAGAUCUGCUUGGUUUGUAAGUGUUUUAAGUGGUUUAAAGGGCUUCCCUCUUGGAAGGCAUCUCAAAGGGCAUUGGUGAUUAGUCUUUAGCCACCGGUUUCCUUGUAAACUAUAUGGGAAUGAGAGGCCCAAGCUUUGUCAUACCUUCGUCAAUUUCACCGGCAUCUCCAUUGUUCCUAGUUUCUUCUCUCGUGUUGCAGUAGCCUAUUUUCUGGGUUUGCUUGUUUUUUUGAGGGUGACAAAUUCCCUGGGGAGCUCUACUUCUUUGGAGUGGUGUUUGAUCUGCGCUUGUCCUUUGUGGUGGCAGUCUGGCAGAGUUUUCUUGUUGGUGCUUCCCAGUGCUGUGAGUUGCUCUCUUUGGGUUUGGUGGUUGCUGGUUUCUGGUACGGUGGCAAUGCUGCCGUCAUUCUUUCAGUUCGGCCGAGCAUGUGAUAUUCUAAACAAUUGAUAUUAGGUUUUAAUUAGAGUGGGCUAUGGGCUUUGUUAUUUGGGGUUUGAUAGUUAAAGUUGCACUAGAAAUUAUGAAUGUAAUGGCCGUGGGCCUCGUAUUGCCAGUGUUUAUUUAAUGAAUUCCAC
rnacentral:misc_RNA from 1 species